rnacentral:rRNA from 1 species
GAUGAACGCUGGCGGCGUGCCUAAUACAUGCAAGUCGAGCGAACGGACGAGAAGCUUGCUUCUCUGAUGUUAGCGGCGGACGGGUGAGUAACACGUGGAUAACCUACCUAUAAGACUGGGAUAACUUCGGGAAACCGGAGCUAAUACCGGAUAAUAUUUUGAACCGCAUGGUUCAAAAGUGAAAGACGGUCUUGCUGUCACUUAUAGAUGGAUCCGCGCUGCAUUAGCUAGUUGGUAAGGUAACGGCUUACCAAGGCAACGAUGCAUAGCCGACCUGAGAGGGUGACCGGCACCACGGGAACUGAGACAGGUUCCAGACCCCUAGGGGAGGCAGCGGUAGGAAAUCUUCCGCAAUGGGCGAAGGCCUGCCGGAGCAACGCGGCGUGAGUGAUGAAGGUCUUCGGAUCGUAAAACUCUGUUAUUAGGAAGAACAUAUGUGUAAGUAACUGUGCACAUCUUGACGGUACCUAAUCAGAAAGCCACGGCUAACUACGUG